rnacentral:lncRNA from 1 species
AGCCGGAGGGGCUGCACUGCACCGAGCUUGCACAGGGCGAGGCGGGGGCAGGACCUGGGACCCAGCCACCCCGGAGGAAACCGGAGAGGAAACCAGCUUGGUCUUGCUCUCUGCCUCGUCCCAAUCCCCGGCUCUUACCAAAUGCAGCAGUGAAAAGGAGGCUGCCAACCCCAAGCAGGGAGGAUUCGGGAGAUCCAUGUAUGGUAUUCUGUCCUGGUCAUGACCCUGCAAGGGACAUAACUGCCUUGUCACCUGGACAAUUGAGAGAAGAAUAUCACAUGCCAUGUUUCACUCAGGAAGCACUCAGUGCCUAUGGGGGAUGGGAAGUGAAGAAUGUCUGGGGACGCUGUCCCAACUGAUCCUUUUUCACUGGCUUUUAAUGGGGGUUUCUAGAAAGAGAAGCACUUAUUCAUUGAUAAAAAUAAAACAUAAUUAGACACAGCCUCCUCUGCCCCUCACCUGAUGGAGUUUUCAGCAAUAUCAAGAAGAACCACCAUACUGAUAAUGCAAAUCUUGAUUCCCUCUGCUCCAUUACACUCCCUUUUAGUCUCACUUUUGGUCCAUAGCAAUUCAGCAAGCUAAGGAGUCAGGAAGUAGUAAGGUCAGCCAACUGUUUCACCAGGGUGAUGCCAGAUAAUACCAGACAGUGUGAUCAAUGGAUAAAGGGAAUGUGAAUAUAAAGAAGAAAAAAGCCCCUUGGCAACCAGAAUGAGUUGGGCUAGAAAUUGAACUCAGCAACUGUUAAAAUCUGACCCACGGCAAGGCAAGCUUCCCAAAGGUGACUUCACAGUGUCGGCAUUAGUGUUGAUUAUAUCACGUGGGUUAAGGUCUUAGAACAGAGGAGAUGUUCGGCAGAAGGCAGCUGCCCUCCCUACCAAAGACUCUGAAAGACAUGAUGCUGUCAGAGGUUGUGCCAUGGUCUAUGAUCAUGGUCUCUGAUUCAACUCCAGA